CAACCCUCAAGCCCCCGGGCUUGGUGUUGGGGAUCGGCCGCCCUCCGGCGCGCCGGCCCCGAAAUCUAGUGGCGGUCUCGCUGUAGCCUCCUCUGCGUAGUAGCACACCUCGCACCGGAACGCAGCCUGGCCACGCCGUUAAACCCCCCACUUCUGAA
rnacentral:misc_RNA from 1 species